UCAGCUCGUGUCGUGAGAUGUUGGGUUAAGUCCCGCAACGAGCGCAACCCCUGUCGCUAGUUAGGAUGUCUAGCGAGACUGCCCCCACUGGGGUGAGGAAGGUGGGGUCGAGGUCAAGUCAUCAUGGCUCUUACGCCCUGGGCUACACACACGAUACAAUGGUCGGGACAGACGGUCGCGAAGGCGCGAGCCGGAGCUAAUCCCACAAACCCGGCCCCAGUUGGAAUUGCAGGCUGAAACCCGCCUGCAUGAACGCGGAGUUGCUAGUAACCGCAGGUCAGCACACUGCGGUGAAUACGUUCUCGGGUCUUGUACACACCGCCCGUCAAGUCAUGGAAGUCGGUAACACUUGAAGUCGCUGGGCUAACCCGCAAGGGAGGCAGGCGCCGAGGGUGGGACUGGUGACUGGGACUAAGUCGUAACAAGGUAGCUGUACCGGAAGGUGCGGCUGGAUCACCUCCUUUCUAGGGAGA
rnacentral:rRNA from 1 species